CUUUCAACAACGGAUCUCUUGGUUCUGGCAUCGAUGAAGAACGCAGCGAAAUGCGAUAAGUAAUGUGAAUUGCAGAAUUCAGUGAAUCAUCGAAUCUUUGAACGCACAUUGCGCCCCUCGGUAUUCCGGGGGGCAUGCCUGUUCGAGCGUCAUUACACCCCUCAAGCGUAGCUUGGUAUU
rnacentral:rRNA from 1 species